rnacentral:rRNA from 1 species
AUUGAACGCUGGCGGCAGGCCUAACACAUGCAAGUCGAACGCGUGGCGGACGGGUGAGUAAUGUCUCGGAAACUGCCUGAUGGAGGGGGAUAACUACUGGAAACGGUAGCUAAUACCGCAUACCAUCAGAUGUGCCCAGAUGGGAUUAGCUUGUUGGUGGGGUAACGGUUCACAAAGGCGACGAUCCCUAGCUGUGCUGAGAGGAUGACCAGCCACACUGGAACGGAGACACGGUCCAGACUCCUACGGGAGGCAGCAGUGGGGAAUAUUGCACAAUGGGCGCAAGCCUGAUGCAGCCAUGCCGCGUGUGUGAAGAAGGCCUUCGGGUUGUAAAGUACUUUCAGCGGGGAGGCGUUACCCGCAGAAGAAGCACCGGCUAACUCCGUGCCAGCAGCCGCGGUAAUUC